rnacentral:rRNA from 1 species
ACGCGAAGAACCUUACCUGGUCUUGACAUCCACAGAACUUUCCAGAGAUGGAUUGGUGCCUUCGGGAACUGUGAGACAGGUGCUGCAUGGCUGUCGUCAGCUCGUGUUGUGAAAUGUUGGGUUAAGUCCCGCAACGAGCGCAACCCUUAUCCUUUGUUGCCAGCGGUUAGGCCGGGAACUCAAAGGAGACUGCCAGUGAUAAACUGGAGGAAGGUGGGGAUGACGUCAAGUCAUCAUGGCCCUUACGACCAGGGCUACACACGUGCUACAAUGGCGCAUACAAAGAGAAGCGACCUCGCGAGAGCAAGCGGACCUCAUAAAGUGCGUCGUAGUCCGGAUUGGAGUCUGCAACUCGACUCCAUGAAGUCGGAAUCGC